rnacentral:rRNA from 1 species
GACGAACGCUGGCGGCGUGCUUAACACAUGCAAGUCGAGCGGUAAGGCCCUUUCGGGGGUACACGAGCGGCGAACGGGUGAGUAACACGUGGGUGACCUGCCCUCAGCUCUGGGAUAAGCCCGGGAAACUGGGUCUAAUACCGGAUAUGACUCCAUGACGCAUGUUGUGGGGUGAAAGCCUUGUGCGGCUGAGGAUGGGCCCGCGGCCUACCAGCUUGUUGGUGGGGUGAUGGCCACCAAGGCGACGACGGGUAGCCGGCCUGAGAGGGCGACCGGCCACACUGGGACUGAGACACGGCCCAGACUCCUACGGGAGGCAGCAGUGGGGAAUCUUGCGCAAUGGGCGAAAGCCUGACGCAGCGACGCCGCGUGAGGGAUGACGGCCU